rnacentral:tRNA from 1 species
UUUCAAUGAAUUGAAUAAGUCUUCGAAACUUAUAAUAUAAGCACGGUCUUAUAGAAAUC